UGGGGAAUUUUCCGCAAUGGGCGAAAGCCUGACGGAGCAAUGCCGCGUGGAGGUGGAAGGCCUACGGGUCGUCAACUUCUUUUCUCGGAGAAGAAACAAUGACGGUAUCUGAGGAAUAAGCAUCGGGCUAACUCUGUGCCAG
rnacentral:rRNA from 1 species